rnacentral:lncRNA from 1 species
AAAGAAUGCCUGUAGUCUGCAUGGGAGCUCAGACCGUUGAGUGGUAAUGAAAUAUGCAUUUUCUGGUGUGCUGUGUGCAGGUUUGCUGUGGGAGCAGUAUAAAAUUUAUGACAUCCUGAGCUAUUCGUUUUCAUGGCUUUCGAGAACUUGGGCCUUGUAAACGCUGUUACUGAUAAUGGUCGAAGCAGUUGUUCAUUUGCAGCUUUAACUGCUUUUUUAAUGACUGAGCUUUAUUGUUAUUGUAAUUAGUAAAUUAGACUGUUUUCUGAUUUUGUGCUAUUUCUCUCCAUGCUUUCAGCCUGUUUUCUUUAGGCCGGCAUGCUGGUGAGCCCUCCCCUCACCCUUUCCAUGUGGUGACCGAUUUCAGCUGGUGCUGGUGGGUGCGGGUGAUGUCUCCAAGAUAACUGAGCUCCUGCAAGCUGGUGACAAUUGCAGACCGAGAGGAGCAGGGCAGAAGGUCCAGCCACUGCUGCCCAUGGCAGGAUUUGGCCACUGGUGGGGAUGGCCAGCAGCUGGGGGAGCUGGCCAGCCAAACUCAUCCCACAGCUGCUUGUCUAAGGGAGGCACUUGGGAUCAGUCACUGUGAAAAGGAAUGUUCACACCUGUGCACGGUAAAACCCACCUCCAGGGCUCCAUCCAGCGAGCCACAGCUGAUGCCCAUGAAGGAAAGGGGCUGUGUAUUACCUCGCUUUCAUAACCAGAAUUAGCUCUACAGCUCUGUAACUUGGCAAGCUUUGAACAAGGAGGAAAGGCGCUGCAGGGGCCUGUAAUGAAGGAGCUGGACCUCAGGCACCAGCAGCCCUGAGGGGGUCAAUGAUGGGGGCUCAUGGGGUCCCCUGUUGUGCCUGCCCAGCUGAUUGGGAACUGUGGCUGUAAAGACCUGCAACCCAAAGUGUCAGCAGUGCUGGUGAUGCUGCAGGGGUGGAGGUGUGAGGGGAGAAGACUCCUGACCUGCAUGAACCUCUCUGUGAUUAUUCUCAUUAAAAUUCCUCUUCCCCCUUCCUGGCUUUCUCCUGCCCAUUGCCGUAGCAUCACUGGGAUGGUUCCAGGCACGGAGGCUGCACAGUUGCUUGUCUAAUGAAA